UACGAAGGGGGCUAGCGUUGCUCGGAAUUACUGGGCGUAAAGGGCGCGUAGGCGGAUAGUUUAGUCAGAGGUGAAAGCCCAGGGCUCAACCUUGGAACUGCCUUUGAUACUGGCUAUCUUGAGUUCGGGAGAGGUGAGUGGAAUGCCGAGUGUAGAGGUGAAAUUCGUAGAUAUUCGGCGGAACACCAGUGGCGAAGGCGACUCACUGGACACAUAUUGACGCUGAGGUGCGAAAGCGUGGGGAGCAAACAGGG
rnacentral:rRNA from 1 species